rnacentral:rRNA from 1 species
UGCGCGCGAUCGCCUUACGGCUCAGUAACACGUCGUUAAUCUGCCCUAAGGUCAGGGAUACCCACGGGAAACUGUGGUUAACACCUGAUAAGGAAUAUGUAUUGGAAUAUAGUAUUCUCUAAAUUCGAGCCUUAGGAUGAGACGGCGCCCGAUUAGGCUGAUGGCGGUGUAACGGACCACCAUACCUGAGAUCGGUACGGGCCAUGAGAGUGGUAGCCCGGAGAGGGACACUGAGAUACUGGUCCCAGCCCUACGGGGUGCAGCAGGCGCGGAACCUCUACAAUGCACGCAAGUGUAAUAGGGGGAUCCCAAGUGCUCAAGCACUGCUUGGGCUUUUGCUUAGUGUAAAUAGCUAGGCGAAUAAGUGGUGGGAAAGACUGGUGCCAGCCGCCGCGGUAACACCAGCGCCACGAGUGGCAAUCGCGUUUAUUGGGCCUAAAGCGUCCGUAGCAGGUUUGUUAAAUUUCUUGUGAAAUUGCCAGGCUUAACUUGGCAGUGUGCAGGGAACACUGACAGACUAGGGACCGGGAAGGGUCAGAGGUAUUCCUGAGGGAGCGGUAAAAUGCUAUAAUCUCAGGAGGACCACCUGUGGCGAAGGCGUCUGACUAGAACGGAUCCGACUGUGAGGGACGAAAGCCAGGGGAGCAAACCGGAUUAGAUACCCGAGUAGUCCUGGCCGUAAACGCUGUGAGCUAGGUGUCGCGUAUUCUACGGGAAUGCGCGGUGUCGAAAGGAAGCUGUUAAGCUCACCGCCUGGGAAGUACGGUCGCAGACUGAACUUUAAGAUGCUGGGGAGCACAGGGCGAUUCGUUUAAACUGCAGACUAGUCCUUAGUGAGGGUAAUUCUGAGCUGCCGUAUCAUGUCAUAGCUGUUCCUGGGUGAAAUGGUUAUCCGCCUCACAUCCACACAACUACGGCCGAGCAUACGGUCAAGCUGGUGGUGCUAUGAGUGACUAACUCCACAAUUAAUGC